UAUCGGUAUGGGAUGGGGUCGCGUCCUAUCAGCUUGAUGGCGGGGUAACGGCCCACCAUGGCUUCGACGGGUAGCCGGCCUGAGAGGGCGACCGGCCACAUUGGGACUGAGAUACGGCCCAGACUCCUACGGGAAGCAGCAGUGGGGAAUAUUGCACAAUGGGCGCAAGCCUGAUGCAGCGACGCCGCGUGCGGGAUGACGGCCUUCGGGUUGUAAACCGCUUUUGACUGGGAGCAAGCCCUUCGGGGUGAGUGUACCUUUCGAAUAAGCACCGGCUAACUACGUGCCAGCAGCCGCGGUAAUACGUAGGGUGCAAGCGUUAUCCGGAAUUAUUGGGCGUAAAGGGCCCGUAGGCGGUUCGUCGCGUCCGGUGUGAAAGUCCAUCGCUUAACGGUGGAUCCGCGCCGGGUACGGGCGGG
rnacentral:rRNA from 1 species